GCUUGUGGUCGAGUGGUAAGGACACUUGUCUCUCACCCUGGAGUCACAGGUUCGAUCCCCGGUUGAGGCA